AUCUAAAUGACGAGUCCUAAAUAAGACGAAACAUGCGUUCUGGAU
rfam:Schistosoma margrebowiei strain Zambia genome assembly, scaffold: SMRZ_contig0002077